rnacentral:tRNA from 1 species
GCAGGGAUGGCAGAGCGGCUAAUGCGGCGGACUGCAGAUCCGUUUUGUGGGAGUUCAACUCUCUCUCCCUGCA